CAGAGACUGCAAGCGUUAUUCGGAUUCACUGGGCGUAAAGGGUGUGCAGGCGGCCAAGUGUGUCAGGUGUGAAAUCCCGAGGCUUAACCUCGGAACUGCGCCUGAAACUACUUGGCUAGAGUACUGGAGAGGGUAACGGAAUUCACGGUGUAGCAGUGAAAUGCGUAGAUAUCGUGAGGAACACCAGAGGCGAAGGCGGUUACCUGGACAGUUACUGACGCUCAGGCACGAAAGCGUGGGGAGCAAAAGGGAUUAGAUACCCCUGUAGUCCACGCCCUAAACGGUGCACACUAGGUCUUGGCGGAUUCGAUCCCACCAGGGCCCAAGCUAACGCGUUAAGUGUGCCGCCUGAGGACUACGGUCGCAAGACUA
rnacentral:rRNA from 1 species